UUACAGUGCCCAAUUAAUCCACCGAUCUGCACAUCUUUGGGAUGUGGGAGGAAGCUGGAGCAACAGCUCCAGAAUAAUCCCUAACACCCAUGAUCAUAGAAGCCAGACUUCUACCAAAGGGGAGAGAGCACUGGGUAUGGCAAAGGCAAUGGAACCAAACAACUGCUUACCUGUAGAACUGAAGAUGAAUUCUCAAACCAGGCAAAGAUCUAUGAAGUUAUCUGUGAAAUCACUUACUGUGUGCACAUUUUUUAAGGAAGAGCACAAGAGGGAUAACACAAGCUGUUCCUCCACUUAUGGAAAGUAAAAUGGAAAUCAAGAUCUUUGCAACCUGAAUGGAUCUCACUGCCAAUAUGGAUCAAGCACAACUACUCUGUCCAUUUGAAAUGUAGUGUGACCCCAUGUCUAAUUCAGACUACUCCUCUACUGCCAUCAGAACAAGCAAGAAAGUCCCACCUUUAUAUCAUUUGAUUCAGGCUAAGUUAAACCUAUUUUAUUUUUCACAACAGUAAAAGCUAUGAUUAAAAUAAAACCUAUAAUGAGAUAAAUAUAGUUUGAAAAUAUGGAAAGCCAGUUAUCAUCAAAAUUGAUAAUUAUACUACCUUCCAUUCUGACAUGAAUAGACACACAAAAGUAAUUUACACAAAAAAUAUUCUCACUGAGACUGCAACUCAUUCAUCAAAAUAUCAAAACAUUUGUUGCAAUAAAAAUACAUUAACUUUUAUGAGAUGUGAAAAUAAAUACAACGGGCAAUUGAAAAGAGCAUUAAAAAAAUUAUUAUAUAUGUUGAUUUAAUUUAUGCGAGUUAAUUUCAAAUUCAUGAAUAACCAAACUUCAAUGGCACAAUUCGCUCCAUUAUAGGAAGAAUGUGAGGCUUUGGAGAGGGUGCAGAAUAGGUUAACUAGGAUACUGCCUGGAUUAGAGAGCAAAUACUAUAAGAAGAGGUUGGACAAACUUGAGUUGUUCUUUUUGGAGCAGCAGAGGCUGAGAGGAGACUUGAUAGAAUUUUAUAAAAUUAUGCAACGCAUAGAAAGAACGCAUAGAAAGAAAGCCGGUGUCUUUUUCCCAGGGUCAAAAUGUCUAAUACAAGAGGGCAUGCAUUUUAGGUGAGAGAGGGUAAGUUCAAAGGAGAUGUGCCAGGAAUUUUUUUUUACAUAGAGAGUGGUGGAUGCCUGGAAUGCGCUGCCAGGAGUGGUAGGGGAGGCGAAUAUGAUAGAGGCAUUUAAUAGACUUAGAUAGGCACAUGAACUCAGACAGCCAGCCAGCUCUAUUAGGGGCACAACCCUCACCACUAUUGAGGACACCUUCAAGAAACGUUGCCUCAAGAAGGUGGCAUCCAUUACUAAGGACCCCCACCACCCGGGACAUGCCCUCUUCUCAUUACUACCAUCAGGGAGGAGGUACAGGAGCCUGAAGACCCACACUCAACAAUUUAGGAACAGCUUCUUCCCCUCCGCCAUCAGAUUUCUGAACUGUCAAUGAACCCAUGAACACUACUUUGUUAUUCCUUCUUUUGCACUAUUUAUUUAUUUUGUAAUUUAUAGUAAUUUUAUGUCUUUGAACUGUACUGCUGCCGCAAAACAACACAUU